rnacentral:ncRNA from 1 species
AUAAAGUUUGAUUUUAGCUAAAAAUUUAUUUAAUUUAUAUUUUACAUGUAAAUUUUUGUAUAUUUUAUAAUUAAAUUUUAAUAAUUUUAUAAAUAUUAAUCGCAGUAUUUGAUAUUAAUAAUAAAAGAAAUUUUGAAUUGGUAUUAAAUUUUAGUAUAGGAUAAUUUUGUGCCAGCAUCUGCGGUUAUACAAAAUAUAUAAAUAAAUUAUUUUGGUAAGUAGUUAAUAAUAAAUAAAGAAUAAUAUAUUUUUAUAAUUAUAAGGUUAAAUUUAAUUUAUAAUAAAAGUUAUUUAUAUAUAAUGAAGCUAUAAAAUUUUAAAUAUAAACUAGGAUUAGAUACCCUAUUAUUUAAAAUUUAAAUUUAUAAUAUCAAGGUAGUAGUAGGUAUAAUCUUGAAACUUAAAAAAUUUGGCGGUGUUUUAGUCUAUUUAGAGGAAUCUGUUCCAUAAUCGAUGAUCCACGAUAAAUAAUACUAAUUUUAUAUAAUUUGUAUAUCAUCGUUAUCAGAAUAUCUUAAAAGAGUAUCAUAUUCAAAUAAUAUUAUUUUAUUAUAAUUCAGAUCAAGGUGCAGUUAAUAAAUUAGAGGAAAUGGAUUACAAUAAAUAAAUUUAUAUGGAUUGUAAAUUGAAAUAUUUUUAUGAAGGUGGAUUUAAUAGUAAAUUUAAUUAAAUUAUUAAAUUGAUUAUAGCUCUAAAACAUGUACACAUUGCCCGUCGCUCUUUUAAUUAGAAAAGAUAAGUCGUAACAUAGUAGAUGUACUGGAAAGUGUAUCUAGAAUGAA